GCCUCCAAAAUUUUAAUUAAAAAAAAUAGAGACAGCCGGGCACGGUGGGUGGCUCAUGCCUGUAAUCCCAGCACUUUGGGAGGCCAAGGUGGGCGGAUCACCUGAGCCACCACGCCUGGCCCAGGUAAGGUGAAAUUCUUUACUACAUACCAUAUGACUAAUGAUAACUUCCUUAGCUCCUUGGAGCUUCAGUUUACCUACCUAUAAAAUAAAAAUAAAGAUAGCACCUCACAUGACUCUUAGAGUAAUAACAUGAGAUAGUGGAUUGGAAGUCCCAGCACAUGACAAUUGCUUCGAAUGGUAUCCAUGACCAUGGUGAUGAUGACAAUGUUGAGGAGAAGGAAAUGCUGAAGGUUUUAAUGAUGUUGCUUAGAAAGUUUUAGAGUGAGGAAGGAUACUGGGUAGAAGGCACAUUUUCGCCACUCCAUCUCUAUCCUUUUUUGUACAACAUUCUAAAAAUCCUCAUAGCCACUGC
rnacentral:lncRNA from 10 species